CGGGGCGUAGCAUAAGCCUGGUAGCGCAUCUGAUCUGAUUUGGGAUCAGAGGGUCGAAGGUUCGGAUCCUUUCGCUCCGA
rnacentral:tRNA from 1 species